rnacentral:miRNA from 1 species
AUAAAUGCUGUUAUUAACAGUUUGCAUUUUCUUGACAUAUAUUGGGUUGACCAAAAAGUUCUUUGGGGUUUUUCAAAAAACCCAAAUGAAGUUUUUGGCCAACCCAAUAAUAAU